rnacentral:lncRNA from 1 species
UUCGGAAAGGGAGGGAAAGCAAGCCUGGCAGAGGCACCCAUUCCAUUCCCAGCUUGCUCCGUAGCUGGUGAUUGGAAGACACUCUGCGACAGUGUUCAGUCCCUGGGCGGGAAAGCCUCCUUCCAGGAUUCUUCCUCACCUGGGGCUACUUCUUCCCCAAAAGGCAUCAUGGCUGCCCUCAGAUCCCUUGUGAAGCCCAAGAUCGUCAAAAAGAGAACCAAGAAAUUCAUCCGGCACCAGUCAGACCGAUAUGUCAAAAUCAAGAUGAGAAGAAUAAUGUCUGGGGUGAAGGUGAAGCACCCAGCCCAAGACUCAGCAGCCAGGAAGUGGCCCAGCGCUCUUUAUACCACGGGUGCAGGAAUUCACACAGAAAAGUGGAGGCCAAGGCGUGAGAAUUCCUCAAUGACUGCCCUCUAAAGGAAGAGAUCCAAAGAAAUCCUGAGGAAGCACAACAAACAAAAACACUCUGGAUCAGAACUUCCUGUGCCAGCGUUACAUCAGGGUUU